CUGAGCUAAAUCCCUGGCCAGCAUGUGCCUUUUUUGGAAAAAAAAACUUGAUUUGGACAGAAAAACUGGAUACUGCAAUGGUAAUUUCUUUCUGCUUGUAUCUCAAAAACAACUUCAGUGAUUGUGAAGAUAGCAGGGAUGAUGAUGUCUGUACUUAGGUUUUGUUUCAGGAGAAGGGAUUUAGUGAGGCCGGCCAGGCACGCUGGGGACAUUUGUUCACACCAAGGAAAUCGAGAGUAGUUUCUGUUUUUCUGGCUUUGCUCUAGUACUUCUCCAGUUGCUCCUCUGGGGUGUGCAUUUUUUUCCCUUCCAUUCAGAUGAUCACAUCAGCUGCCAAGACUUGUUGGCCAAUACAAUGUUACCUAAUUAAGCAUCUGAAAACUGUAACUUAGCAAAAGCAGAGGCUGCCUUCCCAGGGGGGAAAAGCUGUGUUUGGUUAAAGCUGUCACACCUGCAAUAUGUUUAUAAGCUUUUUAUUUCAAGACCAGAAGUGAAGGACACAAGCUUCCAGUUGUUUUAGGUACAGACUUAUUAAUUUAAGCCCAAAUUAAUAACAUGUAGCUUCGAAGAUACUAUCAACAACGUUACUGGGUAAUAUAGCAGUGAAUGUUGAUGUAGUUGUCUACAAGAAGAGUGCCUACUGUUGUUAAUAUUUAGUGUUUGCACACAUUUGAUAAUAGUUAAUAUAGCUUUUUAGUUAUAAAUUUUGAAAUGUUGAUGGAAAAAAUGGACCUAAGUAGUAUUAUAAACUCAGGUGUUUAAGUUUUGAGUCUUCAGGCCUCUGUAAAGUGCGGGUUGUAGUUGGGGAGAGAGCUUGCUCGGCUCCACCAUGCCCUGCGGAGAUUUUCAUAGCCUGAUCCUCUGCCUGGACCCGACUGGCCAUUUCUGAAGGCGAGAAGGAGCAGCCUGACUGUAUCUGGGGAGUCUGGGCAGAGGUUCAUACCAUUGCCAAGGUUUUCUUUGGAAGAGCGAUCACGGGCUCCCGUACAGUGCUGCCACCAUUGUCCUGGAGAAGAAAAGAGUAUUUUACAGGACCCUGUUCUCGUGCUAGCCGAGGAGUAGGGGAACCCGCCCAGUAUGAACAGAGCAUGACUCGCCUUUCACCUGCACAGCUUAAUGUCCUCCACCUGUGUCUGUUGUUGCAAAUGGGAUUUCCUUUUAUGGACCAAAUAGAAUUCCAUUGUAUAUACCAAGCACGUCUAGCCUAUAGCCUCCAGGUCGGACAUGCUUGGCUUGCCUGGGCCAUGCUGAGUGAGGAGGAGUUAUCUUGGGCUGCAGUUAAUAUAUAGUCUUGCUAAAUCACUAAGUUGUUCAGGUUGUCCA